rnacentral:rRNA from 1 species
AUGUAUAAGAACAGACAUGCCAAACAACAUAUCAGAGGUCGACUUAUUCAUUGUCUUGAAAGAUUUCGUAUGGAUGACACAAACACAACAGAGGCUGGUCAGGCAAACAAGACCACGGAUUCUUCCACGGGAGCUCCUUGUAAAACAACACAUCAGAGGUCAACUUAUUCAUUGUCAACUAGAGAAAAAUGUCUCAAAAGAUUUCGUAUAGAUGACACAAACAGAACAGGGGCUGGUGAGGCAAACGAGAGCACGAAUUUUUGCACGGGAGCGCCUUGCCACGGCUGUUCUUCAGUAAAUCUCAACAAAAAGAUGGACUAG